AUCUUUAAAAUAAAAACCAUAAACCUAUUCAAUUUACGAACUCGUAGUACUGAAAAGCUCUGCCGCACCAAUCUGCCUAAGUUUGUGGAUUACCUGAACAGAACAGACAAGUGGAUGUGAGUUUUCGUAAACUCAGUGUGUAACAGAAUUAAACAUGCAAACAUACAGAGAUCUCAUAUACAAUCAUAUACAAGUUCGGGCUCUUGCCAAUUUCAAAUACAGUCAACAGAAUCAAAUACACAGAUUAGAUAUACAAAAUCCUACCCCCAUCCUCUACACACCAUCUUCGACCAUCCCGACACACUAUGUAGGGUUAAAAACACCCACCCAUCCCUACACACCAUAUUGUGCCAUUACGACACGUUUCAAAUAAUAUGCAGCCAAGCUGCAAGAAUAUAGGCGAGGGUCACCUCUCAGAACACUUCCUCCACAUAUAUCCAAACCUACCCCAAAUCAGAUACAGAAAUAACAGAUACAGAAAUAACAGAUUAAACACGUUCAACAUGCUUAAAUACAGUUAAUAGAUAUACGUCUAACAGAAUAAUCAGGCAUGCAUAGCAGUAACACUCAGUACAGAAUAUCAAACUAUUAGAUUUCAUAGUUUUAGGGUUUGGUUAGCCCUUAUCGACCAUACGGUGGCCCACAGUCGAUCAGAACGACCCGUGCGACCCUAGGAAAAAUUUCAGAAAAAUGGGCUCAUAUGCCUGUGUGGGCCCACACGACCUAUAUUGGCCUCGCCCAUGUGGCCCACACGAUCUGGCCCAGAACCCGCAUGCCUAAUAUGGCUUAGCCCUUAUGGCCCACACUGCCACACUCACACCACCACACGGUCGUAUCUUGCGCACGACCAUGCCCUCGUCGACCACAUAGCCGUGUCUCGCACAAGACCAAUCACAUGGGUGACCACACACCCGUGUGACGUCGACAGAAUAGUUUUUUGGCUUUUACAGAAGUUUGAUUCUUUGCGUUUCGGGUACACACCUGAUUUGUUUAAGAAGCUUCCGCAAACCCAAGCCCUCCGAAACCUAAUAAACAACAUCUCAUUAACCAAUUAGCAACCAAUUCACGAAUCGACAUAAACUCGAAAUAACGCAUAAAACUUACCGAUAAUACGCACAAACACUAGUGAGAUUAAACUGUCGAAAAAAGAGUUCACCGCUCACACCC
rnacentral:lncRNA from 1 species